CGUGAGAAAAUGGGUUGGAGCCACUGCGGCCACACUUCGUGGCUCCAUCCCAUCUUCUUUCGGA
rnacentral:pre_miRNA from 1 species